UACAGAGGGUGCUAGCGUUGUUCGGAAUCAUUGGGCGUAAAGGGCGUGUAGGCGGUUUGCUAAGUCAUGUGUGAAAUCCCUCGGCUUAACCGGGGAACGACGCACGAAACUGGCAAGCUAGAGUACCAAAGAGGGGGGUGGAAUUCCCAGUGUAGCGGUGAAAUGCGUAGAUAUCGGGAGGAACACCUGUGGCGAAGGCGGCCCCCUGGUUGGAUACUGACGCUGAUACGCGAAAGCGUGGGGAGCAAACAGG
rnacentral:rRNA from 1 species